rnacentral:lncRNA from 1 species
UCGUUGGGGUGCGCUCACUGCUGGACUCGCAGAGGUGGAGGUGAAUCCAUCGCCUCGUCCCCGCACUACACUUCGGUAACACCGCACACGCCCCAAAAGAUGUCGGCUGCCAUGGCUUCAUGCGCCGCCAACGCGCGCGCCGUCGCUAAACCCGCGAUCGGAUCUAAAAGGUCCAACGCCCUCAGGCGAGCGGGUCCCCGCGUGGUGACCGCGUCCUCCCGCCGCCACGUGAUGACCGCCAAGGCCGAGUACAAGGUGCGCAAUCCCUACUCAUCGUGUAACUCAGCGUAUGGGAUCGUGCCCUGGGGUUGCGAACCCACCCCGGUCGCCGAUCUGCGCUCCGAGCCGCGCGUCCCGGAGGGGGAACAUUUCGCGGAUUAAUUCCAGGGCGACCUCUCGAACCCGACGCACACCCCACUGGAACCCGAACCGACCCUGAGUGCCGUGUCCCGACACGAUUUCUUACAUUCGUAGGUUGCAGUCCUCGGCGCCGCCGGUGGCAUCGGCCAGUCCCUCUCCCUCCUGCUCAAGAUGAACCCCCUCAUCUCGGACCUUGCGCUUUACGACAUUGCGAACACUCCCGGCGUCGCCGCGGACCUCUCCCACACCAACACCACCUGCUCCGUCAAGGGCUACGCCGGCGAGGAACAGCUCGCGGACGCGCUCAAGGGAUGCGAUCUCGUCAUCAUCCCCGCGGGCGUUCCCCGCAAGCCCGGCAUGACCCGCGACGACCUCUUCUCCAUCA